UCGUACCUUCUCUUCCCAUUGACAACUGUUAACAGGAACUCUUCUUGGCUUCGGUUUGGGUUGUUAGCUUUUGUUCCUAAUAGCAAGAGCACCUUUUCCGUGCAUCAUCAAUGAUUUACGUCGCCCAUGGUAGAUGGAAAGGUAGAUGCUGCAUGUGGCAAGUUUGGCGCUACAGCUGUUGUGGCAUCUUGGUUGUUGUUUCAUGGGUUCCUUUAGCCUANCAGUUUGCUGAGUUUAGGCCUGGUUUUAUUUGUUUGGGCUUGAGGUUGUCGGAAUUGGUUAGGUUCUGUAAAUUACCGGGCCUUGGGUUUUGGAUCUGUAGUCUUUUGCCU
rnacentral:misc_RNA from 1 species